rnacentral:rRNA from 1 species
GUGCAGCAGGCGAGAAUACUUUACAAUGCGGGAAACCGUGAUAAGGGAACCUCGAGUGCUGGCGCAUAGCGUCGGCUGUCCAGAUGCCUAAAAGCAUCUGAUAGCAAGGGCCGGGCAAGACCGGUGCCAGCCGCCGCGGUAACACCGGCGGCUCGAGUGGUGGCCACGGUUUAUUGGGGUCUAAAGCGUCCGUAGCCGGCUCGGCAAGUCCCCUGGGAAAUCUGGCGGCUCAACCGUCAGGCGUCCAGAGGAUACUGCUGGGGCUUGGGACCCGGGAGAGGUGAGAGGGUACCUC